AGGACAAUGAAAGUGGUGAACCCGUUGACGUACAAGAGACCAAAAGCUCACGAUGCAGCUAAGAUACUCUACACCAACCAAACCAGAUCAAAGAGGAUUUUCAACUGUGUGGCGGCCAUUGGUGGUUUCGUGGGCGUAACUUACUGGGUGUCGACUUUCAGACAGAAGAAACAGCUACGAAACUUAGCAGAGCUCGAGCAAGAGUACGGUUAUUUAGAAGAACCAACUCCCCCAGGCGCUGCUGUGAGUUGAGCUCUGCUGACUGCAUCGUUCAAGUGACCCAUCCCUUGAUCCAACGUGAAGAAAUCAGGAAUCGUUAACGACAGUUAUGCUUAACUUAUUGAGGUGAAAUGAUGGAAAACGUUCAGAACUAGCUGAUUGUGCAGUGUUGAAAACAAUUAAUUUAUUAAAGUUGAAGCUCGUUUUAGGGCUUUACUUUGUAGCAUCUGGAUCUUCUCAUUAUGAUAUUACAUUAAAGCUGUAAUAUAUCUUGUUGUGUUGUCGACAAGUCUAUACCGACCCUCUGCAAUCAGAUAUGUCUCAAUUUAUGAAUGUUUGGUAGAACCAGAAGAUGUUUACUCAAAUUAUUACAUAAUUAUAUUGGCUAUUAAAAAGCAAGGUUCACUCGACUCAGCUUGUUGGUUUGUCAUGUUGAGAAGACUAGAUUGAGUUGAUCUAUAAUUGUGUUCCUAAAUAGUUUUGUAAUUAGUGGUGACGAUUUGUUUGUAAA